rnacentral:rRNA from 1 species
GAUUGCUGCAGUAAUGGCGAAUGAACGAGCAGGACCCACGGCUCUUCCUGAAAAUGGGACUCCUGACUCCAGACGACACUCGCGUGGUGCCCGUCUCGAUCGGCUUUCGUUGGAUUCCAGCAAACACUGUGGGCUUUGGAGCGGUUGGCUGCGUCCGGGUGAUCCCAGUGCCAAGAAGAGCCCUGGAAUGGGCCCACAGAACAGGGAGACUGUCCCGUAUGCUUGGCUGUGCACUGGGAUUCGCCUGGGUGUGGCUGGCUGCAUCCUCGAGUAGAGUGGCUUGGGACUGCAGUUUGAAGAGCGACGUGUAUCCGUCGCAAGGAGGCAUACAGACCUGGGACCGAUAGCGCAGAAGUAGAGUGAUCGAAGGAUGCAAAGAACUCCGUGAAGAGGGUUAAAAGCCCCUGAAGCCGCAACAGGAACGGUGGUGUGCAGUGCUGUCUCGGCAACGAUAUCCUCCAAGCGACCCUGGGUCAGCCCGGGGCUGGCCACUGAGCUCCCAUCUCCAGAUGGGAAUGACCAUCGUGGCAGCUCUGCGGUGGCAGGUCCGCCCUGUCAGGACCUGGGGUUCCCCAGUGAAAGAAGUCUUCAUCCUCUCAGUGAUGUGGCUCUGGAUGCGCAGCAGACCUGGCCUUCAACGGCAGCUGUGGAAGUGGGACACACAGCCCAGAGAGAGAGAGAGAGUCAUCUCCCCUGUGUGACACCCAUGACCCCUGCUGCUGGCGAUGGCCCGGAAUGCUUGAAUCGUGUAGUAGCUGCUUGUCCUUGACCCCGGUGUGUCUCCGGACAUGUCGGUCGCUGGCGGUCGAUCUGGAUGGGGUGUGCUUGGCUACACUGGGGACUGCACCAUCUUGAUGGUGGUCACCGUGUUCGGCUGCACCGCCUCCCAGCUUGGCCCCAGUGAGAAAUGGCAGCGGAGCUUGGCACUUCCUCGCAGUGCUGCUCUCUGCCCGUCUUGAAACACGGACCAAGGAGUCUAAGGAGCUUGCUUGUUGGAUGGCUGAUACUCGAAACCUCUCUGAGGCGUGGUGAAGGCAACGUCCACUUCCAGAUGGGCUUGAUAUCUCUGCAUGGAAUGACCGGACCCGAAGUCCAGCGGACAGGGUUUUGAGUGCUUGCAAGGUCCUUGGGACCCGAAAGGUGGUGAACUAUACCGUUCUACGACGAAGCCAUGGGAAACUGUGGUGGAAGUCGGUCGCUGUUCUGACGUGCAAAUUGUGUAGCCUGAGUGCGGCAUAGGGGUGAAAGGCCAAUCGAGCCACCUAGUAGCUGGUUCCCUUCGAAGUUUCCCUCAGGAUAGCUGGGAUCCAAGGAAGCGAAGACCCUCGUGAAUGGUUCCAUCCGGUAAAGCAACGCAUGAGAGGCCAACCCUGGGGAGCCCAGCUCCUCAACCUAUCCUCGAACUGUGAAUGGGUGUGGACAACCCAGGCACGCUUCUUCGCAACGACUGGAGGCUGUGUCACAGCAGUUCUCCCUGUCUUCUGAGCGUGUUCGUCCCAACUGAUGGCUUUUGCUGCCUGUCCUCUCCCCGUGUGUGGAUCCAGGAGGCAACACAGCUAGAGAGAGCAAUGUCCUUCUGUCCCCCCAUGCAGAGGGUGUGACCAGUGCAGAAAGUCUUCGUCGUGUUGAACAAUGGCUCCUAUGUGGACCAUGACUGGUAAGCAGUGCUGGUGAUGCGGGGUGCUCCGAGAGCAGACUUACAGAUCCAGAGUGUUGGCUCAUACUCAGAUCCCACAAAGGAUGUUGCUUACUAUGGAUAGCAGGACGGUGGCCAUGAAGGUUGGAACCCGCUGAGGAAUGUGUAACAACUCACCUGCCGAAGUGCGCAGCUCCGAAAAUGGAUGGUGCCUAAGUCAGUGAAUCGUCUCCCUCACAGUCUGCCAACGAUAUGGCAGCCAAGGCAGAGCAUCGUUGUGUAGAAAGGGCAUGAGUGACUGCGGUUCCUGCUGGGACUGCUCCCGGCUUGAGCGUCACCCAGAGCAGAUCUUGGUUGUAGUAGCGAGUACUCCACCGAAUGAGGAGUGGCAACACAACUCCGCUGUGUGCGAUUGAGGACUGGAGUGGAGCAGGUUUCCACACCAAACAGCCGUUGAAUGUGGGUCAACCGAUCGUGAGCCAAGUGGUAAGUUCACCGAACAACCAAAGCUGCCUUGAUCCUUCUCUGCUGGACUCAGCACACGAAGCAAGGGAGGCUGUGUGUGUCUCAUCCCGAAUCCUCUGCUGGGGGAAGCCACUCUCCACCACACUCUGAGAGAGAGAGAGUCAUCCAACGGAGAGGGCCAACCCACAGAGGAGAGAGCGCACACCCAGUGUCUGCCCGAGUGGAGUGUGUCUGGUCCGAGGGAGCAGUGGGCAGGAAUGGCAAACAGGCAAGUGCGAGCAAGAUUCUACUGUCAUGGGCUAGAGGUCAUCUUUGGCGGUGGCGACACCUCCAAGGCAGCCCCUCCAGGCAUCGAACCAGUGAAUCCCCUGUGGAGUUUUCGUUUCCUCCUGAUGCAGACUCAUGUGGGCUAUAGAUUGGCAUGACAGAUGGUGGUGUAUGCCCUUCGCUCAGCAAGGCAGUGUGGUCUCCACACUGAUGGCAGUUACAACCGAAGAGAGCAAGAGCAGCCGCGCACCAGAUGUUGUGUCGCUGUGAACGACCGAGAGUGGCAGUCACUGGUUCCAAUGAACAGCCUGCAGGAUUCUCGUGCCUCAGGACCCUUGUGUCCGUACUGCAUCACCGCAGCCGGUCUCCUCGACUAGACGUCGCUUGUCCACGGACGAAAUGCGGCUAAGGGAAGUCGGCAAACUGGCCGUGCACCUUUGGAAGAUACGGUGGCUCCAGAAGCCAAGUCAGCAGGCCCUGCUGUGGGAGCUGUGCGGCAUUGGAUGAUCUCCCAGUGGGAUUCCUCCGGGAGUUCUGCGGGGAUGCUUCGCCUUUGUCCGUGCUCCAUCCCGGGCAGGGGCAACCACACUCUCGGGUGUGGCCGACCUGCUGUCUAUCCAGUGGCUCAUGUGGAACUGUUGCUGUGCAGGGGAAUCUGACUGUUUAAUUGAAACCCAGCUUUGUGAAGGGACCAGCUGGCUGGUUCCGUGAGGUGACUUCUGCCCAGUGCUCUGAUUGUCAAUGCGAAGAGAUUCAGCCAAGCGCGGGUAAACGGCGGGAGUAACUAUGACUCUCUUAAGGUAGCCAAAUGCCUCGUCAACCAAUUAUUGACGCGCAUGAAUGGAUCAACGAGAUUCCUGCUGUCCCUAGUCGCUGUCUGGUGAACCAACAACCAAGGGAACG